UUGCUCUAAGGAUUAACACCCUGCUAUAGUGUUUAUCAAAUGAGAAUUCUGAACAAAUCUCCGAAGGAAGACCACCAUUAAUGGACAACCUUCUCCUUCAUCAUCAUCAGUAUCUCCUAGGUAUUUCCUCUUCACAUUACAGAAUCUAAUAUUUCCAAGUUUCUAAUCUCCCAACCUAAAUUCUUUAUAGGAGAUGCUGAUAAAUUUAAAAAGAUUGCGGAAAGGGUUUCGAUCCUUUACUUACAACGUUUAUUAUAGCUAUAAAGGUAUUGAAACAAACGAGUGAAUCUACUUAAAAAACUGAAGUUUAUGCUUACAAGAAAUGGGGUUUUGUCUAAAGAUCAAAUUCAAUUAGCAUUUAGGAAAAAUCUCCAUUGUAUGAUGCUUUCUGAGAAGAAAAUAAGUCAUCGAGUAUUGAUGAAAACCCAGGGAUUUUUAAUUGUAUCUUGAAGGAGAUGAGACUAGGAUAAUCCCUCAUUCCCUUGGUGCUCUAUCAUCAGAAUUUUAGACCCAAAGGGUCUGAUUAAGGAAAAAAUUCCUUUGACAUUCAGUAAGGACAGAUGAGUCAUUUUCGGAGAACUUUGUGAAGCCGUAUAACCAAGAAGCUUCUCAAUUAAUGAAUGUAUUCCAAGGUCAGUUGAAUCUGGAAGAGCUGCUUCUGAAAUGAGGAUUUGAUGAGAUGCAAAUGUGGCGCAUGAAGAAUAUAUAGCAUGGGGGUAGAUGUGUAUGCUUCAUAUUCAGUUUGUCACAAAUUUUAGCUGGACCCUUAGUAACUAAGCUUCCCAAGAGCGUUAAAUUGGUUUUAUUAGAUAAAAUUGUAUUUACUUAUGGAAAUUGGCGACAAAGAUAUUUGUUUUGCUGAUUUCCAUACGCCAGUGGGCAAGUAAUGCCUCUGAGAGAGUUCAUAUGAUUUAUGAAGUUCAAUGUAUAGGUGAAACAUAAGUUGCUUGUAGGUUAGUUUUGUUGUCUAGCUCAUGAGAAUAUAGCCGCUGAAAACUUCAGAUUGUAAGCAUAUCGAGUUGAUAUGCAACCCAUUCACUACUUUAUAGUUUCAUUGAUGAGAUAAGGAAUGAGUCACUCAUGUAAAAUCAUUGUCCACUACUAUAUAGUUUCGUUGAAGAGAUACGAAAUGAGUCACACAGGGCUGGCUUAUGAAGAUGAACUUUUUCCUGUUCAUGGGACUUAAACUGUACUAGUCAAUCAAAUGGCAGAACAUCAAGUGAAAUUUUAGAACUACGGGUAUGUACAUCCUCUCACUUGACAACCUGUAGCGGAUAGGUAACGUUCUAGUUGGGUAAAAUAUAGAGAGAUAGAGCUCAUGGUACUGUUGUUAAGCCUGCUUGAAUUUCUCUUCACACUUAGUGAACUCACCGAUGCAUGUCUGCGCGACUGCGUCAACAUCUGAAACAUGAGACAGCUAUUUUCUCAUGUAGGUAGUAGAAUUAGGUGUCCAUAUUAAGAUAGAUAGAGCAUAAAUAUCAAUGAGAACAUUUGGGGCACAAUCGCACAUAAAAAUAAAAUUAAGGUUCUUCGUUCUGUUUCCCCACUUUCUUCUAUUUCUUGUUCCCAUGUCAGAAGCUGAAAAUGUUUCGAUCCUCACAAUCUCAAAAGGACCACCACCGCCGUAAAUGAGCAACGUUCUCCAUCAGCAGCUGCAAGUCGGAAUAUUCUCCUUACAGUUCAAAAUCUGAAUGUUCUCAUUGAAGCUAAUUCAUGUGGAUUAUCUGAAAACGAAGCUAUUAAUGUCUCUCAAAAAGUCGAUUUCAAAACCCCACAUCCCAACCCAGAUGCAGUUUUGACAUUAUUUGAAACCUAUGGAUUCACUAAACCCCCUCAUUUCGAAACUCAUCACUAAGCAUCCAUCAUAUCUGUUAUCUGAAAAACUGAUGGGGUUGGUCGGAAGAUUUAAUCCAAACAGCAUUUAGGAAAGGUCCUCUUUUUUAUGAAGGCUUCUGAGAAGAAGAUUACUGCAAUUAUAAAUUAUCUGAUGAAUGAAAUGCGUUAUGAUUGAUUUAGUAUCACAGAAGACUCAGUGAUUUUCGCUUAUAUCUUGAAGGAGAGGAUUAUCCCUAGCGGCACUGUUAUCAGAAUUUUAGUCUCGAAGGAUCUGAUCGAGAAAAAUAUUUUUCUGGUAAGACAAGUCAUUUUCAGAAAAGUUUGUGAAGCCGUAUGAGCAAGAAGCUCCUGCAUUGAUGAAGGUCUUCCAAGGUCAGUUGGAUUAGGAACAGAUACUUUUGAAAUGGAUUUGGUGAGAUGAAUAUGACCAUAUAGAAGUUGAUCACUGAUUUUAGCAGACAAAUUCUAUUGUUUGUGCCGUCAAAUGGAGUGGUUAGUCUUCUGCAAUCUGAAGAGAAUUUUCGAUUCACACAUCAACCGGAGGGAACUGUGGUUAGUCUUCUGAAAUGAGGAUUUGAUGAGAUGUAAAUGUGGUGGGCUGGCUUUUGAAAAUGGAAUUCUCUUCUUCAUUUUUUGUAUCUGUUCAUGGGACCUAAGCUGUAUCAGACAAUCAAAUGGCAGAAGAUUAAGUGAAAUUUUAGAAGCACGGUCAUGUACAUUCUCCCACUUGACAACCUGUAGCGGAUAGGUAACGUUCUGGUUGAGUAAAAUAUAGAAAUAGAGCUCAUGGUACUGUUCAUAAGUAUGCUUGAAUUUCUCUUCACACUCAGUGAACUCGCCGAUGCAUGGCUGCCAUGACUGCGCCAAUAUCUGAAACAUGAGACAGCAAUCUGCUCAUGGAGGUAAUGGAUUUAGGGGUCCAUAUUAAGCUAAAUGUUCCAUAUUGUGUUUUGAGUUACUUUCAGAAGCUUUGGUGCUGAGCAUCGCUGAGUUAGUGAGAGCAUAAAUAUCAAAGAAACAUUUUGGGCACAAUCGCACUAAAAAAUGAAAUUAAGGCUCUUGUAUCUGUUAACAUUCUUCUAUUUCUUUUUCCUAUUGGAGAAGCUAAAAAUAUUUUGUUCCUCGCAAUCUACGGAGGACCACCACCACCAAGUCGGUAUAUUCUCUUUGUAUUUCAAAAUCUGUAUGUUCUCAUUGAAGCUAGGGGUUAAUUCCAUGAUCUGUU